AAAGUAUUCUUCAGAUCACUCACAGCCACAUGGAGUCAUCUGGCCUCUACAGAAAGAUCCACGUGAAGACAGGCACAGAUCAGGGACUUGGAGGUGCUAGCAUGCAAGCAACUUCGAUAGCUGAUUUGUUCCUCUUUCUUCAAAUACCUUGGAUACUCUGAAGUAAGAGAAGAUAAAGAGGAAAAAUAGAAGAGGAGGAGAAGAGGCUCUAAAAAUAAAAACCAGUAAGGGAUAGAUCAUCAGACAUCC
rnacentral:lncRNA from 1 species